UGCCACUGAAGCUCAAGGGAAAAUUUUAUAGGACGGCAAUAAGGCCGGCGAUGCUGUAUGGCACAAAAUGUUGGGCGGUGAAACAUCAACACGUACACAAAAUGGGUGUAGCGGAGAUGAGGAUGCUUCGUUGGAUGUGUGGGCACACGAGAAAGGAUAAGAUUAGGAAUGAGUAUAUCCGGGGUAAAGUAGGAGUAGCCGAAAUUGAAGGAAAGAUGAGAGAAAAUCGGUUACGGUGGUUUGGACAUGUGCAAAGAAGGCCUACUGACGCUCCGAUUAGAAGAUGCGACUACGGGACAGAGGUUCAGGGCCGAAGGGGUAGAGGAAGACCUAGGAAAACUUUGGAAGAGACUCUAAGAAAAAAGACUUAGAGUACUUGGAUCUAACGAAGGACAUGACACACAUGAUCGAGCACAAUGGCGUUCUAAGAUUCAUAUAGCCGAUCCCACUCAGUGACUUGGAUUUUCCAAGUCUCCAACCGAGAAGUUUUCCUCACUCGGAAAAUUAAGGGAACACUACCCCAACCUACAUGCUCCACUCAGAAAGCUUCAACAUACAAGCUUCAACAAAAGAAAAUUCAAAGAACUUAGCGAAGAAGGUUUUGGUGUAUUUAACACAAUACGUUGAAAUGAAGGAAAGCUUAUUUAUUGAUAUCCCCGAUAAGCUACAAAUAUGAACAUAUACAUGAGUCAAAAUAAACACACAAGAGGGAGCCUUCACAAAGGUUGCUUAGGAGAAGUCUCAGCAGUCGGUAGAGCCCCAGAAAGAGAAGGCACCGGAGGGGGAUCAUUUGGAGCCUCAGUACUGGACAGAACCCUAGAAGGAGGAGGCAUCAGAGGUUGAUCAUUUGGAGCUUCAUUACGUGGUACAGCCCCAGAAGACGAAGGCAAUAAAUGCCUUUGGAACAAACCCACAAAUCUCUGAUGAUCAAGUAAAACCUGACCAUCAGUUUCCUUCAUCUGGUCAAGCUUCCUCUUCAUGUUUGUAGCAUAGUCAUGUGCGAGCCGGUGCAACUAUUUAUUCUCCUGUUUGAGACAUCUAAUCUCCUGUUUGAGACUCAUCACUUCAGCCGCCAAUGAUUCAACUUGGCGGGUUCGAGCAAAUAGGCGUUGGGCCAUAUUAGACACAGAACCUGCACACUGAACACUGAGAGCCAGCGAAUCCUUAACAGCUAACUCAUCAGACCGUUUGGAAAGUAGUCUGUUAUCUUUGGGAGUGAGAAGGUUCCUGGCCACCACAGCAGCGGUCAUAUCAUUCUUCAUCACGGAAUCCCCAACGGUAAGAGGACCAGUAGGGGAGACGAAGGAUGGGCGCCAUAUGUUGUCUGGAGAAGGCGGGGCUGCCUCUUCAACAAGGUUCAAGUCAAAACGACGGUCGGAGGGGCCAGACAUUUUCAAAGGUGUUGAAGAGAGAAGAGGUCGGACAAAUCAAAAUCUUAGAAGUGCAAGAAUGAAGCUUCUACUGGUGGAGAUUCAAGUGUGCUUUGGAACUUAAUGCCAGCCCCUAUAAAAAUCUGCACUCGACGGAGCUUCAGAAAUCGAAGAGGCGCCUGCUUAGAAAUAGAAGAGGCGUUUGCUUUCUCAAAAGCUGGGCUGCUUAGAGAUCACGAGGGUUGAUCUCAGAAAUCGAAGAGGCGUUUGCUUUCUCAAAAGUUGGGCUGCUCAAAGACCACGAAGGCUGAUCUCAGAAAUCGAAGAGGUGCUCGCUUUCUCAAAAGCUGGGCUCCCCAGAGACCACGAGGGCCGAUCUCAGAAAUUGAAGAGGCACCUACUUUUCCAGCCUUGUCAGCACCUGUCACACGCACACUCAGCUUUGCGGAAAUUAUGGGCAUUCUGUCGAAGACUUCUGGGGAAGUAGAAAACACAUGAAUCUUACUGUUCAAUCACCCACUUCCCACACGCAACAAUAGCUCAUGGGUACCACAGAAAACUUUGCCAAAGUUCUCUGCCAAAGUUGAGCACGUGAAGCUUGUAGCUCCCACUACAUCGCUCUGACCAAGAAGGGUAAAAGAAUAGCAAAGAAACAACACUAACAAAGUUUAGACCCAUAAAUUUUGAAGGUCUAGCUACCAUAUUAUUACCCACAAGGGUAAAGGAACAGUACCACUGCUGGAUAAUUGGAAAGUCCCUGUGUGUCAACCUCUGUGCUUCGUGGCAAGGUAGACUAACAAACAUGCCCAACCUUUACUCACAUUCGAGAAAACACUCCCAAUAAGAUUGCUUGCUCCAAAAGCCAGACUCCCAACAUGACUACUUUCUUAAAAAUCGAAGAGAGGGUAAAGGAACAGCACCAUUGCUGGAUAAUUGGAAAGUCCCUGUGUGUCAACCUCUGUGCUUCGUGGCAAGGUAGACUAGCAAACAUGCCCAACCUUUACUCACAUUCGAGAAAACACUCCCAACAAGAUUGCUUGCUCCAAAAUCGAAGAGGCACCGCCCUCCGAAUCUCGAGAGCUAGACUCCCAACAUGAUUACUUUCUCAAAAAUCGAAGAGACACUGCUCCCCGAAUCUUCGAGAGCCAGACCCCCAGCAUGAUUGCUUUCUCAAAAAUCGAUGAGGCAUCGUUCUUCGAAUCAAUCGAAGAGGCGCUCACUUUCUCAAAAGUUGGGCUGCUCAGAGACCACGAGGGCCGAUCUCAGAAAUCGAAGAGGCACCUACUUUUCUAGCCUUGUCAGCACCUGUCACACGCACACUCAGCUUUGCAGAAAUUAUGGGCAUUCUGUCGAAGACUUCUGGUGAAGUAGAAAGCACAUGAAUCUUACUGUUCAAGCACCCACUUCCCACACGCAACAAUAGCUCAUGGGUACCACAGAUAACUUUGCCAAAGUUCUCUGCCAAAGUUGAGCACGUGAAGCUUGCAGCUCCCACUACAUCGCUCUGACCAAGAAAGGUAAAAGAAUAGCAAAGAAACAGCACUAACAAAGUUUAGACACAUAAAUUUUGAAGCUCUAGCUACCAUAUUAUUACCCACAAGGGUAAAGGAACAGUACCACUGCUGGAUAAUUGGAAAGUCCCUGUGUGUCAACCUCUGUGCUUCGUGGCAAGAUAGACUAGCAAACAUGCCCAACCUUUACUCACAUUCGAGAAAACACUCCCAACAAGAUUGCUUGCUCCAAAAUCGAAGAGGCACCGUCCUCCGAAUCUCGAGAGCCAGACUCCCAACAUGACUACUUUCUCAAAAUCGAAGAGAGGGUAAAGGAACAGUACCAUUGCUGGAUAAUUGGAAAGUCCCUGUGUGUCAACCUUUGUGCUUCGUGGCAAGGUAGACUAGCAAACAUGCCCAACCUUUACUCACAUUCGAGACAACACUCCCAACAAGAUUGCUUGCUCCAAAAUCGAAGAGACACCGCCCUCCGAAUCUCGAGAGCCAGACUCCCGACAUGAUUACUUCCUCAAAAAUCGAAGAGACACUGCUCUCCGAAUCUCGAGAGCCAGACCCCCAACAUGAUUGCUUUCUCAAAAAUCGAAGAGGCAUCGUUCUCCGAAUCUCGAGAGCCAGAUACCACAGACCACUUUUUCAAAGUGCUCUGACAGAGUUAAAACAUGUGAAACUGGCAGCUCCCACUACCGUGCUAUGACCAAGCAGGGUAAAGGAAUAGCAUUACUAAUUGUUAGGGAGACUCCUAUAUAUGUCGACCUCCAUCCCCAACGAACAGGCAUACCUGCAAAAAUGCUCAACCCUUCAUCAUAUCUGAGAGGGCACUCCCAACGAAACCUUUCGAAAUAUUCAGCUUUCUUUCCCCCCGAUAAUACCUCUGCAAACAAGCUAUACUAGAGCAAGAAUAUCUCAUAUCAUCAGGGUUAAAAGAAAGAGUAUCCCAUAUCAUGAUUUUUCCCUGUCUUUUCCUUUGGCCUUGUUUUUACCUGCAAGACAAGGAGAAAGAGAGCAAUCAGUCAGCACUUGAAAUCAAGCUUCCAGCCAGGAACUGACUGCCUGGAACCGCUUACCUGAUUACUUACCUGACAUUGCUCUCGAGUACUCAUCUUCAACAUCUUAUGUUUCCAGGGAAGAUUCCGCAUCUGCUUGAGGAACAGAUAGGGCAAGUGCGAAGGAUACAAGGAAGCAUGUGGAGACAAGCGUAACAGCACACGUGCCGAUACAUCCAUUACUCUGUCAAAAGCAAAAGUAUCCCAUAUCAGCAGGGUGGAACGUACUCUAGAUUUGAUGGACUUGUUUUUGACCCUCAAAUUCUUCAGUCGGCCUUAUACUCUGGAGGAAACCAGAAAACCCUCCAGCUCAGUUCAAGAAUAAGCCUGUGGAAAGUUACUUCUUCAAAAGCAAAAGUAUCUCAUAUCAUCCCUUCUCAUUUUUCUUCUCUUUAUCCUUCAUGAUGCUGCAAGAUGGGGAGAAGGUGAACAAUCAGUCGGAGCUUUGAUUGCUUACCUUGUCUGUCACCUCUUUCAGCAGACCCCCUAGCUCGGCGACUUGGGGGACUCCUACUACAUGGUUUGUAUCGCGCUUGACCAAGCCUGAAACUACAAGUAAGCUUCAAGUGAAAUUGAUACAUUACCUUGUGCAUCUCCACCAGUUAAAGAUACCACCCCUGGAUGGAGGAAGAGUACUUCCAGAGAAGAUGCCACAUCUACCUAUGAGACAGAUAAGGCAAGUCAAGACGAAACCACACUCCGAUACUUAGAAGUUUUGUGAUUACGAGAUCAUUCUCCCACAAUAUUUCCUAAUGUCAUUUGUACUAAAUCAUUCACUUGUACUCACUAAAGGAGAGCUUGAACCUAUGUACUUGUGUAAACCCUUCACAAUUAAUGAGAACUCUUCUAUUCCGUGGACGUAGCUAAUCUGGGUGAACCACGUACAUCUUGUGUUUGCUUUCCUAUCUCUAUCCAUUUAUAUACUUAUCCACACUAAUGACCGGAGCAAUCUAGCGAAGAUCACAAAAAGCGACCGUUUUUGCUACCUAGGAUCUAUCUUGCAAGAGAACGGAGAAUUAGAUGGAGAUCUCAACCAUAGAAUACGAGCUGGAUGGAUGAAGUGUAAGAAUGCAUCCGGCGUGUUGUGUGACCGUCGUAGGCCACUGAAGCUCAAGGGAAAAUUUUAUAGGACGGCAAUAAGGCCAGCGAUGUUGUAUGGCACAGAAUGUUGGGCGGUGAAGCAUCAACACGUACACAAAAUGGGUGUAGCGGAGAUGAGGAUGCUUCGUGGGAUGUGUGGGCACACGAGAAAGGAUAACAUUGGGAAUGAGGAUAUCCGAGGUAAAGUAGGAGUAGCCGAAAUUGAAGGAAAGAUGAGAGAAAAUCGGCUCCGGUGAUUUGGACAUGUGCAAAGAAGGCCGAAUGACGCUCCGGUUCGAAGAUGUGACUACGGGACAGAGGUUCAGGGCCGAAGGGGUAGAGGAAGACCUAGGAAAACUUUGGAAGAGACUCUAAGAAAAGACUUAGAGUACUUGGAUCUAACGAAGGACAUGAC
rnacentral:lncRNA from 1 species